rnacentral:rRNA from 1 species
AGAGUUUGAUCAUUGCUCAGAUUGAACGCUGGCGGCAGGCCUAACACAUGCAAGUCGAACGGUAACAGGAAGAAGCUUGCUUCUUUGCUGACGAGUGGCGGACGGGUGAGUAAUGUCUGGGAAACUGCCUGAUGGAGGGGGAUAACUACUGGAAACGGUAGCUAAUACCGCAUAACGUCGCAAGACCAAAGAGGGGGACCUUCGGGCCUCUUGCCAUCGGAUGUGCCCAGAUGGGAUUAGCUUGUUGGUGGGGUAACGGCUCACCAAGGCGACGAUCCCUAGCUGGUCUGAGAGGAUGACCAGCCACACUGGAACUGAGACACGGUCCAGACUCCUACGGGAGGCAGCAGUGGGGAAUAUUGCACAAUGGGCGCAAGCCUGAUGCAGCCAUGCCGCGUGUAUGAAGAAGGCCUUCGGGUUGUAAAGUACUUUCAGCGGGGAGGAAGGGGGUAAAGUUAAUACCUUUGCUCAUUGACGUUACCCGCAGAAGAAGCACCGGCUAACUCCGUGCCAGCAGCCGCGGUAAUACGGAGGGUGCAAGCGUUAAUCGGAAUUACUGGGCGUAAAGCGCACGCAGGCGGUUUGUUAAGUCAGAUGUGAAAUCCCCGGGCUCAACCUGGGAACUGCAUCUGAUACUGGCAAGCUUGAGUCUCGUAGAGGGGGGUAGAAUUCCAGGUGUAGCGGUGAAAUGCGUAGAGAUCUGGAGGAAUACCGGUGGCGAAGGCGGCCCCCUGGACGAAGACUGACGCUCAGGUGCGAAAGCGUGGGGAGCAAACAGGAUUAGAUACCCUGGUAGUCCACGCCGUAAACGAUGUCGACUUGGAGGUUGUGCCCUUGAGGCGUGGCUUCCGGAGCUAACGCGUUAAGUCGACCGCCUGGGGAGUACGGCCGCAAGGUUAAAACUCAAAUGAAUUGACGGGGGCCCGCACAAGCGGUGGAGCAUGUGGUUUAAUUCGAUGCAACGCGAAGAACCUUACCUGGUCUUGACAUCCACGGAAGUUUUCAGAGAUGAGAAUGUGCCUUCGGGAACCGUGAGACAGGUGCUGCAUGGCUGUCGUCAGCUCGUGUUGUGAAAUGUUGGGUUAAGUCCCGCAACGAGCGCAACCCUUAUCCUUUGUUGCCAGCGGUCCGGCCGGGAACUCAAAGGAGACUGCCAGUGAUAAACUGGAGGAAGGUGGGGAUGACGUCAAGUCAUCAUGGCCCUUACGACCAGGGCUACACACGUGCUACAAUGGCGCAUACAAAGAGAAGCGACCUCGCGAGAGCAAGCGGACCUCAUAAAGUGCGUCGUAGUCCGGAUUGGAGUCUGCAACUCGACUCCAUGAAGUCGGAAUCGCUAGUAAUCGUGGAUCAGAAUGCCACGGUGAAUACGUUCCCGGGCCUUGUACACACCGCCCGUCACACCAUGGGAGUGGGUUGCAAAAGAAGUAGGUAGCUUAACCUUCGGGAGGGCGCUUACCACUUUGUGAUUCAUGACUGGGGUGAAGUCGUAACAAGGUAACCGUAGGGGAACCUGCGGUUG